UAGUGAUUUACUCAUGGAUUAAUUUAAUCGAGAAAUUGCCUAUUUACUCAACAAUCCACGCCAAGCGCGUCACCAUCAUGCCCAAGGACAUCCAGCUCGCCCGCCGCAUCCGCGGGGAGCGCGCUUAGGUUUUCGGUCGCCGCCGGUGAUGCUGGAUGGUUGCUGUUCCUGUCUGCUGAUCAGGAUGUGUGCCCGGUGCUUGUGUUCGUUGGUGUUGAUAUGAUGUGUCCUCUUGUCCCAUGUAUCCUGAUGCUGCAAUGAGAUGGCAAUGGAAAGUUCAGUUAUCAUCUAAUGCUCUGUUUGUCCUCCAAUGCCUCUGCUUUCUGCUUGACUGCUUUGUGAAUUUUCAAUGGCGCACCUGAAAACGUAGCACGGUUCUGCAGUGAUUGGGUUGAACAAUGGAUGAUGCAGUGUCCGUCGAUUUUGUGGUUUUGCCAGUUAUUUUUGUUUGCUAGCUAUGUGGUUCGGUGUGUCUGCACCUUUUUUCCCCAUGUCUGUACAGUGAUUUGAUGAACGCAUUUGGGCUUUUGGAUCUAUGUGAAGUGAUUUUGAAUUAUGUUUGGGUUAGCUAGCUAGCUGAAGUUGAAGAAGUGACAGAUUUUGAAUUCUGUUCUCUGUACAUUUGGUCGUUACUGCAUUCAGUUUUAGGAUAAUCAUCACACUACUGACUCAAUAUCUACCUAACCUUUGGUGCUUUUUUUUGCGGGGGACCUAAACUUUGGUGCUUGCAGUGCAAUUGAUAUGCCAAUUGUGUUGUGUUAUCUUCCAUAGCCCCAUUUGUGCUUGCAGUGCAAAUGAAGACACCAUAUACUGUCAGGUUUCUUUCAAGCUCAGGUGGUGUGGUAUCUGAUUGCGUGAAGUAUCUGAAAUUCAUAAUUCAUCGAUGAAGACAUCUGUAUGCGGCUGCAGAGAGUGCUAUUCUAUCAGCAAAUAACAGGAGCUUCCAGGCAGGAAGAGAAGGAGAUGAAAGGGGGAUUCCUGCUCUGUUGAAACCAUCGCUGGGCAAAUGCGGCACCGAGCAGGGGAAUAUUUCCUCGGAUUUCACAAAGGUUUCCAUGGAGGUACAGAAAGCGAGGUUCAAACAAUUCAGUGCAGCAGCAGCAACACCUCCAAGGUGAGAAAUAGGUUCCUAUUUAUCCUUCUUUGCUAGCUGUGUUCCUCUGCUGGGCAUCGACCAUGAUCUCCAUGUCGCCACUAAGGCCAUGGCUCCUGGGAUCGAGGACGCUGGGCUCGCAUGGUCUAGGCCACUAUUGAUUUGUUUCUCUUGGUUUAUGGCCUCUUUCGCCUAUGGUCGGAUCUGCGCGUCCGCGUCCACAGGAGGACUAGGAUCUGGCUGUGCUCCACGACUAUCACAACCAAGCCGGGGAGCACCAGAGAUCACAACUUGAAAAUUUUAACUGCAAUAUUUGUUGGUCAGUGUCCUCAUCUGAAAUUGUUCGUAAGGUAGUGCUUUAUUCUGUAUAGCAUCCUUGGAAGAUUGUGUGGUGUGAUGCUUGGGUGUAGAGCCUUUUUUGUUAUUCUGUAUAGCAAAGGGAAAUAGCCUCAGGCCCUCAGUUUGGUAUAGCAAUGGGGGUGAUCCUUCGUUGGAAGAAACAUUGGUGUGAAACAGAUAGACUUACUGUUUUUUCAUACUAUACUAGCAUAGUGUUGGUUGUUAAUUUUAAGUGUAUCAGCAGUUUUUUCAGCCAAUGAAGUUAUGCUCACGACAUGGAGAACUUCAAGGACAACCUGCCUGAACAGUUUCUACCUGAUUAGUGAACUAGGCCAUUUACUAUACAAAUAGUUAUUUUGUUGCAAGUUACGCUGUUGCUUCUAAAUACUACACUUUUGGUUGUAUUUAGCAACUAAGAAUGACACAAGCAGCCGCUAAAACAUUCGAGCAAUGCCCAAGGUUAGUACAGGAAGCAUAGUUGUUUGCUUUAGUAGAAAUUAUAUUCCUUUUUUCCACUACUGUGAACAUGGACGUGAGUAGGUAAUUGCUCCUAAAAGAAACCUAAUUAAUGUAUUGUUGAACCUAAUUUUGAGAUGAUUUUUAUUCUGCCAUUGUACAGUGCACAUUAGCAUCGUCUAAAUACACAUGUCUCUGGGGUUUCUUUUUGGUGGCAAAUUGAUUCUUGCAAUCAUGGUGGAAAGGCCAGCAAUAAGGCACUCUACACUGAUGAAAUUUGCAUAAGUAUUCCUCUUUGUGAUAAGAUUUCACCAAAAGUUUCAACAUUAAGAUGUUUACUUAGUUAAAUCCUGAACUGAGGCACCCACCCAUACAUGUAUAAGCUCCAAAAAAUAAAACAAUUUGCAAAGAAUUUUUCAGCUUUCGGGCUAUAAGCGUUAGACAUUUUCAUAAGAAAUGCUGAAUGUUAGUAUCAAUUGAAUCAAUUUGACCUUACACGCAGUGCAGGUAUUGUUAAAUCUGUAGUUGUAAUUUAUUCACCUGUAACUUGAUUUUCUUUUCACUUCUCUUUUUAUAAAUUCAUGUAGUCGGCUAUAAUAAUGAUAUUUUUUUCUUUUGAGAGAGAAAUUGUGUGUCUGCUCUGGUUUUAGUUUUAACGUCAGCUCGUUACAAUCCGUAACUACUUGUAGACUACUUCAUCCGGAUGGGUUUGCAACUUUGUGUACAGACUGCUUCAACACUUCUAUUUUCUAUAGGACUUGGAUUAAUAAUCUCCAACAAUAUGGUCAUGCUUCUUAUAUUUACUUUCAGUUCUAAAUACAUUUAUGUUUUUCUCUAUGUUGUACUACUAAACUAUGUGUGCUAAAGUAAACAUAAAAAUAUGACGGGGUGGUGGUUUCAGCCAUAGAAAGAAUUGAUUUGGAGAACAAAGGGAAUUUUCGGCGGACGAAGAACUCGCUCGAGAUGCUCCAGUGAUGAUUUUAUAUAGCGUUUUAUCUAAACCUGGGUUCCUUCUUUCAGAUUGGGCGGUGCCCUAUGAUGUGAAGCCGGUGUAAUAACUUUUUCAUUUGGCAUCGGUGGUGAUGUGACAACCUUUUAGACAAUUUGGCACCUGUAACACAGUGGAAGACCUCAUACGAGCUGGUUGCCUUCCUGGUAGUUGUUGCGGGUUUUGAAUUAAGUGUACAACUAUGUUUAAAACGCCAUGAUCAGAAGCUGUGGUGGGUGUACAGAUUGACUCUUAUUACAUGACUAUUCCUAAGAUUGAUUCUGAUUGGGUUAAGGGCAUGUGAUUUUGUUC